rnacentral:rRNA from 1 species
AUACGGAGGGUGCAAACGUUGUUCGGAAUUACUGGGCGUAAAGAGUACGUAGGUGGUUUAGUAAGUCAGAUGUGAAAGCCCCGGGCUCAACCUGGGAACUGCAUUUGAAACUAGUAAACUAGAGUAUGGUAGAGGGGGGUAGAAUUUCUAGUGUAGCGGUGAAAUGCGUAGAUAUUAGAAGGAAUACCAGUGGCGAAGGCGGCCCCCUGGACCAAUACUGACACUGAGGUACGAAAGCGUGGGGAGCAAACAGGAUUAGAAACCCUAGUAGUCC